ensembl:misc_RNA Metazoa_SRP Metazoan signal recognition particle RNA
GCCAGGUGUGGUGGUGUGCACCUGUAGUCCCAGUUGCUCGGGAGGCUGAGGCAGGAGGAUCACUUGAGCCCAGGAGGUUGAGGCUGCAGUGAGCCCUGAUUGCACCACUGCAUUCCAGCCUGGGUGACAGAGUGAGACCCUGUCUUAA